rnacentral:rRNA from 1 species
AACGAACGCUGGCGGCAUGCCUAACACAUGCAAGUCGAACGAGACCUUCGGGUCUAGUGGCGCACGGGUGCGUAACGCGUGGGAACCUGCCCUUAGGUUCGGAAUAACUCCCCGAAAGGGGUGCUAAUACCGGAUAAUGUCUUCGGACCAAAGAUUUAUCGCCCUUGGAUGGGCCCGCGUUGGAUUAGCUAGUUGGUAGGGUAAAAGCCUACCAAGGCGACGAUCCAUAGCUGGUCUGAGAGGAUGAUCAGCCACACUGGGACUGAGACACGGCCCAGACUCCUACGGGAGGCAGCAGUGGGGAAUAUUGGACAAGGGGCGAAAGCCUGAUCCAGCAAUGCCGCGUGAGUGAUGAAGGCCUUAGGGUUGUAAAGCUCUUUUAACCGGGAUGAUAAUGACAGUACCGGGAGAAUAAGCUCCGGCUAACUCCGUG